rnacentral:sRNA from 1 species
CCACACCAGGUGAGCCACCGAUCUCAUCUUGGGGAAAAGUUUCCCCACUGCUACCAUCAUUCAGAAGUUCUGGGGCUGAGGGCACCUGGAAGCUUGACCUUACAAACAAGAAUGCAGGACUGUGGAGCCAAUGUAGAGUGCCUCUCUGUUGACGUCUGUGUUGGCUGGGUCUUAGCAGAUGGUGCUAACUGAGCAGGAACCCAGAGAAUUCUAGAGAAAUCAGCCCCCUAAGAACACCAGGUGUGUCAAACCAUUUCAGUAUUUCUCGGUUCAGUGACAAGAAGGAAUUCUGUCUCCCUUAAGGAAUAACUGGCUGUGGGAUGCACUGGUGGUCUGGAAGGACUUCAGAGUAGAGCCCUGGCUCUCUGGUGGAAAGAAUACAUGUGAACGUGUUGAAUCCUUCACCUUCCUAGACACCUGUGGCGAGCUCACAGCACGUGACAGUGAGGACCAGGCAGGCCAGCCUUGCUUCAGACCCCUUUGGAACCUACAGAUAAUAGACUGUGUUUGUCCAAGUUGCAAGAGGUCUGAAGCACUCUGUGCCUGCUCCUAUAAACAUGGGAACAAUGUCAUCAGGUGACACUGGUGACGACCUAAGAUAUUAUAUCCUCCAAAACACUAGAUACAGGUGCUGUGGACCUGUAAGAUGCAUCUCAGUUGGUUUCAGGAUGAUGCCUGGAAUCAGAAUCAGCUUGAGGAGCAACACCAUGAAUGGGAAACCCUCACCUCAUUCAGGAAGAGUACCCCCAACUUCAAUAUGGAAACAUGGCGCGCCAUGCUGAGGGGGCAUCUCAGCAUGUCUCCUUACAUUUGCUUAAAAUAUAUCAAUUACGUUUCUUGCAACAGUAUUGUUUCCGUAAAAUUCAUGUCAGCUUUCUGUGACUCCUUCAACAAUUCCAACAAACCUACACCAAAUACCUAGUGUGUGUUGGAUGUUGUCCUUGGAGGGAGGAAUCCACUCACGUGCAGCUGCUCACCUCCCAGAGCUUGCUCUCUAGUGGACACCAGCAGAGGCAGAGAAUCGACAGGUGUGGCUUUCAAAGCACACAGUUGGAGAAGUAGGACAGGGUGGCUCUGGUGCUCAGAAAUCCCUUGGGUCCACAAAAUGCUGAGCAAUAAAGGUCUGCAGCCCUGGAGGACCUAGAAGUCACGGUGACCUUUUCUGAUAGAGACAUUAGUUUUCAGAGUACCAAAAGGCCACUGAUUUUUUCAAUAUCAUCAAAUUUGUAUGGAAAAUAUUGUUUAUUUAGG